GUUGAUUCAGUGUGUUGGCAGCAGCCACUCAAUGUUAGUGGUGGCUGUUUAACAGUCUGAUGGCCUUGAGAUAGAAGCUGCUUGAGAGCUGUGUGUUUGAGAGCUAUGCGCUUGAGAACUAUGUGUUUGAGAGUGUGAGUUGGAAUAACACAGAGACACACACACAGAGACACACACACAGAGACACAUACACAGAGACACACACACACACACACACAGAGACACACACACAGAGACACACACACCAAUACACAAUGAAAUGUCUGGCCACUUAUCUGUCUCCCAUAAAAAAAUAUAUGUAAGAUUUCUCCAUUGUAUUUCCCUCCUUAUCCUCAAAUCGUUAUAUUUGGCAAUGAAUACAUUGAUUCUCACACUGAGAAUCUGUCUUAAUCAUCGAUUUGCCUCCUUGCCUUUUCCCUAAGCUUUAGUGCUUCCAGUCUGGUCACUAACUUCCUCAGCUCUGACGUGGCCUUGGGGGAGGAUCAGGUCAUUCCUUAGCAGGGGGAGGAUCAGGUCAUUCCUUAGCAGGGGGAGGAUCAGGUCAUUCCUUAGCAGGGUGAGGAUCAGGUCAUUCCUUAGCAGGGUGAGGAUCAGGUCAUUCCUUAGCAGGGGGAGGAUCAGGUCAUUCCUUAGCAGGGUGAGGCUAAGUGAGGAUAGCUCCUCAACUCUGACAUGGCCUUGGGGGAGGAUCAGGUCAUUCCUUAGCAGGGUGAGGCUAAGUGAGGAUAGCGCCUCAGACGUGUCUGAGAGAGAAUGGCAGAAUACACACAAGAGUGCAUUUUCCAUUUCCCUCUUUAUCUGUUAAGCAGUGAGUAAAUAAACGGUCACUGGUCAAUUACUUGAUUCUGAAAGUUCAUUUGAGUCUUGAACCUAUAAUUAUUUUAACUAGUGUUAUAUUAAAUUUCCUGUUUUAAAACUGACCUUUUCCCGCCCUUUGAACUUCCGCGGUUGUUGAUGCUACGGCCAGGUCCUCCACGUGUCCUGACCUUCAUCAGCGGCCAGGUUCUCCAUGAGUACUGGCCUUCGUCAGCGGCCAGGUUCUCCAUGAGUACUGGCCUUCAUCAGCGGCCAGGUUCUCCAUGUGUACUGGCCUUCAUCAGCGGCCAGGUUCUCCAUGAGUACUGGCCUUCGUCAGCGGCCAGGUUCUCCAUGUGUACUGGCCUUCAUCAGCGGCCAGGUUCUCCAUGUGUACUGGCCUUCGUCAGCUCCCAGGUCCUUGUCUUCGUCUCGAUGCCUUCAGGAACACUGAGGGCUCUGUGGACAUGAGGGGACCCAGCGAGUUCCCUAUGACGCUAGGCGGUGUUCAAAUAUCCCCCCAUGUCUCUUGUGCUAACAAAAAACAAUAAUAUCUGUGGUAUUUACCAUUCUAGCACUUAGUGCACUCACACAGACACACACAGACACACACUCACACAG
ensembl:lncRNA